AGUGAACGCUGGCGGUAGGCCUAACACAUGCAAGUCGAACGGCAGCACAGUAAGGGCUUGCUCUUACGGGUGGCGAGUGGCGGCCGGGGGAGGAAUACAUCGGAAUCUACUUUUUCGUGGGGGAUAACGUAGGGAAACUUACGCGAAUACCGCAUACGACCUACGGGUGAAAGCAGGGGAUCUUCGGACCUUGCGCGAUUGAAUGAGCCGAUGUCGGAUUGGCUAGUUGGCGGGGUAAAGGCCCACCAAGGCGACGAUCCGUAGCUGGUCUGCGAGGAUGAUAAGCCACACUGGAACUGAGACACGGUCCAGACUCCUACGGGAGGCCGCAGUGGGGAAUAGUGGACAAUGGGCGCAAGCCUGGUCCAGCCAUACCGCGUGGGUGGAGAAGGCCUUCGGGUUGUAAAGCCCUUUUGUUGGGAAAGAAAAGCAGCAGGUUAAUACCCCGCUGUUCUGACGGUACCCAAAGAAUAAGCACCGGCUAACUUCGUG
rnacentral:rRNA from 1 species